UACGGAGGAUCCAAGCGUUAUCCGGAUUUAUUGGGUUUAAAGGGAGCGUAGGCGGAUUAUUAAGUCAGUUGUGAAAGUUUGCGGCUCAACCGUAAAAUUGCAGUUGAUACUGGUAGUCUUGAGUGCAGCAGAGGUAGGCGGAAUUCGUGGUGUAGCGGUGAAAUGCUUAGAUAUCACGAAGAACUCCGAUUGCGAAGGCAGCUUACUGGACUGUAACUGACGCUGAUGCUCGAAAGUGUGGGUAUCAAACAGG
rnacentral:rRNA from 2 species